rnacentral:rRNA from 1 species
UACGUAGGGUGCAAGCGUUAAUCGGAAUUACUGGGCGUAAAGCGUGCGCAGGCGGUUUUGUAAGUCUGUCGUGAAAUCCCCGGGCUCAACCUGGGAAUUGCGAUGGAGACUGCAAGGCUAGAAUCUGGCAGAGGGGGGUAGAAUUCCACGUGUAGCAGUGAAAUGCGUAGAGAUGUGGAGGAACACCGAUGGCGAAGGCAGCCCCCUGGGUCAAGAUUGACGCUCAUGCACGAAAAGGCGUG